rnacentral:rRNA from 1 species
UACGUAGGCGGAUCAGAAAGUUAGGGGUGAAAUCCCGGGGCUCAACCUCGGAACUGCCUCUAAAACUCCUGGUCUUGAGUUCGAGAGAGGUGAGUGGAAUUCCAAGUGUAGAGGUGAAAUUCGUAGAUAUUUGGAGGAACACCAGUGGCGAAGGCGGCUCACUGGCUCGAUACUGACGCUGAGGUACGAAAGUGUGGGGAGCAAACA